rnacentral:lncRNA from 1 species
AGGUGCUUUGCACAGGUCGGAAGCUGCAGGCUCAUUCACGGAAUUGCAAACUCGUGGCUCGUCAUACACACCAGUAUCCACACCCCUUGCUGGAGCUACAAGGCCACACACGGAACCACAUGUGCUUGAUGUGUCAUUUUGAUGUCGCAUUGCUAUGUUUGUUAUGGUGCUGUAGUUCUUGAUAGUUAGUUCUUUUAAUGCAAUUAGGAUUCUUUGCCUACUUCAGGCGUUUUGAGCCUAUCUAUCUAACUAUCCUCUUACGUCUUUGUUUCAGGUGGUUUAUGCAGGCCUGCUUCGACACAUGCUGAAAAUGCCAGCUUCACAGAGUUGCAACGUCUUGAUUCAUCGUACAGGCCGGUAUCCACAUAUCCGACUGGAGCUACAAGGUCACACGCAGAUCCACAAGUGCUUGCCUUCAUGGAAAGGGUCUCACAGAUACUUAAUGGUAUUAAGCAGACCCAGCAGGCCCAUUCACAAUACCUUAAUGAGCUGCUCAGCAAUGCCAACAGUGCAUCUUCACAACCUUGUGACCUCCCUGAUUUGCCUUUUUCGGAUGCGACAG